UACGUAGGGGGGCAAGCGUUGUCCGGAAUUAUUGGGCGUAAAGCGCGUGUAGGCGGUUCGGUAAGUCCGCUGUGAAAGUCGGGGGGCUCAACCCUCGGAUGCCGGUGGAUACUGUCGAGCUUGAGUACGGAAGAGGCGAGUGGAAUUCCUGGUGUAGCGGUGAAAUGCGCAGAUAUCAGGAGGAACACCAAUUGCGAAGGCAGCUCGCUGGGACGUUACUGACGCUGAGACGCGAAAGCGUGGGGAGCAAACAGG
rnacentral:rRNA from 1 species